rnacentral:rRNA from 1 species
AACGUAGGAGGCAAGCGUUAUCCGGAGUUACUGGGCGUAAAGCGUGCGUAGGUGGCCUUACAAGUUCGGUGUGAAAGCGCCCGGCUUAACCGGGCGAGGACAUUGAAGACUGUGCGGCUCGAGGGUGGUAGAGGGGCGUAGAAUUCCGGGUGUAGCGGUGAAAUGUGUAGAGAUCCGGAGGAAUACCAGUGGUGCAGACGGCGCCCUGGGCCAACCCUGACACUGAGGCACGAAAGCGUGGGGAGCGAACGGG